rnacentral:rRNA from 1 species
UACGUAGGGUGCGAGCGUUAAUCGGAAUUACUGGGCGUAAAGCGUGCGCAGGCGGUUCGUUAAGUCAGAUGUGAAAGCCCCGGGCUCAACCUGGGAACUGCAUUUGAAACUGGCGGGCUAGAGUAUGGCAGAGGGGGGUAGAAUUCCACGUGUAGCAGUGAAAUGCGUAGAGAUGUGGAGGAAUACCGAUGGCGAAGGCAGCCCCCUGGGCCAAUACUGACGCUCAUGCACGAAAGCGUGGGGAGCAAACAGG